rnacentral:lncRNA from 1 species
AUCAGACCUCCCAUAGGCCCAUGAGGUAGAUUUGGUAUUAAGCGGAUUCCUAAUAAUUCUGUUUCCUGGCAAGCUCCUGACAUCCUGCAGCAUAAUGCAAAUGCAGCUGGCUACCCGGGUCAUAGCUCCGACUAACCCAUCACGCUCACUGAUGUAUGACUUCACCUCUCUGAAUGUGUUCUCCAUAUCAGUCUUCCCACGAGGAUCCCAUACCUCAGCAGGGAGAACAAUUAGGUAUUCAUCUCAUUACAAUAGAAGAGAUUUACAAAGAUAUGAGAGUCAGAAAGGAGAUAAGAAAGGAAAAAUAAUGUGUGUUAUUCGAAAAAGAAUAUGUUAUUUGAAAUCACUACAUUUGAAUAAUACUGGUCUGUAUAUAACUAAGACCUCAAAAAAAGGGAGAAGAAAGCAAUGCAAAAUGAAUCUGAAAAAGUGCUUAUUCAUUCAGUUACAGGACUCCACAAGGCUCUGGAAAUACAAACAUGAAAGGAGCACAGUCUAUGCUCUUUGGAGUCUGCGAGAAGAAAUGAUCAUGUAAGUGAACCAAACCUGAUAAAUUAUUGGUAAAGGUUAUAAGCUGCUGUGAGAGCACAGGGGAAGAAGAAAUAUCAAGAAGGUUUUCCAGAGGAAGGGCCACUGAAGGCUUGAAGGAAGAGUUAGAAUUGGCCAGACAGAUGGGACAACGUAUGUCAAAGCAGGUAGGCAUUAAAAACAUGGUGUAUUUGGAGAAUUGCAAAUAUUUGGAAGAUGGUCAUGAAUGAGUGAAGAGAGACUUAAUUUUUUAAAUUUAAAUUAAUUAGAUAAUGGAUAGUGUAGAUAAGAAAAUAAUCCAUUUGGAUUUUUAUAAUCAAUUUUGAAAUCAUAUACGUAUUGGGAUGCAGAUGAAAUAAUUACAGUGGUCUAAAUUUCUUAUGAAUUGCUUUCAGGUUUUUGAGUAACCCAAAACAUCCUCUAUGAGCAGAUCUAUUCUCCUUUCUUCCUCUUUUCUUCUUUUCUUCUCUAGGUUCAAGCAUAAUAAAGAUCAAUAUUUACCAUCUUUUAGUUUUCA